rnacentral:tRNA from 1 species
CGGUAUGGUGAAGUUCUGGGUCUUCAAGCCCGAUGAGGCGCAGCAGCUCACGCUG